UACGUAGGGUGCAAGCGUUGCCCGGAUUUAUUGGGCGUAAAGGGCGCGUAGGCGGCCUUCUAAGUCGAACGUGAAAUCCCCGGGCUCAACCCGGGAACUGCGUCCGAUACUGGAAGGCUUGAAUCCGGGAGAGGGAUGCGGAAUUCCAGGUGUAGCGGUGAAAUGCGUAGAUAUCUGGAGGAACACCGGUGGCGAAGGCGGCAUCCUGGACCGGCAUUGACGCUGAGGCGCGAAAGCCAGGGGAGCAAACGGG
rnacentral:rRNA from 1 species